GUCUUGUGUGAUGACUUGUAUUACCGCCCCAGUCUGAGAAUUCAUGACUGACUGGUACUGAGUUGAG